CCUACGGGAUGCAGCAGUCGAGAAUCAUUCACAAUGGGGGAAACCCUGAUGGUGCGACGCCGCGUGGGGGAAUGAAGGUCUUCGGAUUGUAAACCCCUGUCAUGUGGGAGCAAAUUAAAAAGAUAGUACCCCAAGAGGAAGAGACGGCUAACUCUGUGCCAGCAGCCGCGGUAAUACAGAGGUCUCAAGCGUUGUUCGGAAUCACUGGGCGUAAAGCGUGCGUAGGCUGUUUCGUAAGUCGUGUGUGAAAGGCGCGGGCUCAACCCGCGGACGGCACAUGAUACUGCGAGACUAGAGUAAUGGAGGGGGAACCGGAAUUCGCGGUGUAGCAGUGAAAUGCGUAGAUAUCGAGAGGAACACUCGUGGCGAAGGCGGGUUCCUGGACAUUAACUGACGCUGAGGCACGAAGGCCAGGGGAGCGAAAGGGAUUAGAUACCCCUGUAGUC
rnacentral:rRNA from 1 species